AGUGAACGCUGGCGGUAGGCCUAACACAUGCAAGUCGAACGGCAGCACAGUAAGAGCUUGCUCUUACGGGUGGCGAGUGGCGGACGGGUGAGGAAUACAUCGGAAUCUACUUUUUCGUGGGGGAUAACGUAGGGAAACUUACGCUAAUACCGCAUACGACCUACGGGUGAAAGCAGGGGAUCUUCGGACCUUGCGCGAUUGAAUGAGCCGAUGUCGGAUUAGCUAGUUGGCGGGGUAAAGGCCCACCAAGGCGACGAUCCGUAGCUGGACUGAGAGGAUGAUCGGCCACACUAGAACUGAGACACGGUCCAGACGCCUACGGGAGGCAGCAGAGGGGAAUAUUGGACAAUGGGCGCGAGCCUGAUCCAGCCAUACCGCGUGGGUGAAGAAGGCCUUCGGGUUGUAAAGCCCUUUUGUUGGGAAAGAAAAGCAGCAGGUUAAUACCCCGCUGUUCUGACGGUACCCAAAGAAUAAGCACCGGCUAACUUCGUG
rnacentral:rRNA from 1 species